rnacentral:rRNA from 1 species
UGCCAGCCGCCGCGGUAAUACGGAGGGUGCAAGCGUUAAUCGGAAUUAUUGGGUUUAAAGGGUGCGUAGGCGGAAAUUUAAGUCAGUGGUGAAAGCCUGCAGCUCAACUGUAGAAUUGCCAUUGAUACUGAAUUUCUUGAAUCUAAUUGAAGUAGGCGGAAUAUGACAUGUAGCGGUGAAAUGCUUAGAUAUGUCAUAGAACACCGAUAGCGAAGGCAGCUUACUACGUAUAUACUGACGCUGAGGAGCGAAAGCUAGGGGAGCAAACAGGAUUAGAUA